rnacentral:rRNA from 1 species
UACGGAGGGAGCUAGCGUUGUUCGGAAUUACUGGGCGUAAAGGGCGCGUAGGCGGCGCGAGUAGUCAACGGUGAAAGCCCGGGGCUCAACCCCGGGUCGGCCGUCGAUACUCUCGUGCUUGAGCACUGUAGAGGCAGGUGGAAUUCCGGGUGUAGCGGUGGAAUGCGUAGAGAUCCGGAAGAACACCGGUGGCGAAGGCGGCCUGCUGGGCAGUAGCUGACGCUGAGGCGCGACAGCGUGGGGAGCAAACAGG